rnacentral:piRNA from 6 species
UCUCCUACUUGGAUAACUGUGGUAAUUCU